CCAGCUUUGGGGGUCCCUUCCAAGUCUAUCUCACCCAUAAGACUCUUCUUUGGCCAUAAAGGUAUUUAUUCUUCAGCGCUCUUUUCGCCUCUGUAGAAAAUCCCUGAUGGAGUUAACAAUUCUUUUAGCAGUGUUUCUCUUCUAGGGGUCAUUUCACCAGGGGACAUUGGCCAUGUCUGGAAAGUUUGGUUGUCACAACUAGAGUGGGGGUAGGAGGUAGGGUGCCACUGAUAUCUAGCGAGUAGAGACCAGAGAUGCUUCCAAGCAUCCGGAAAUGCAGAGGACAGUACUCACAAUAUAGAAUUAUCCAGCCCCAAAUGACAGUAGUGCUGAGGUUGCGAAACUCUCCUCUAUGGUAAAAGUUCUUGUUCAAAUUACUAUGGGGUUACUUUUUCCUGAUUGGACUCUGACUGAGGCAGAGGAUGAGAAAGAAAUGAAGAGAGACAAAUUAAAUGACACCCCGGUAAGUUUCAGCAGGAGGCUUUUGUCUUUGUGUUUCUGUCUUGUCUAAAUCAGCCUGCUUUCUUUGAUUUGACCUGAUGUUGCUGAUCAAGUCAGGAGAAACACAAGUGUGAGAGGUUAAGAAGAAAAAUCCAGGGGGGUUUGGGGUUUUGUUUGUUUCAGCUUGGCAUGGAUUUUCCUCAUUGAUGAAUGGGGAACACAUUUUUCAUGAGUCCCAAAUGCUAUUCUCGGAGGAAAACAGAUGGUAGGAAGUGUAGGCCAGGACGCCAUGAGACAGCAGCUCAUGUACUCACUAACAAAGAGAAUUUAAAACGUAAAAUACUAGAAAAUAAUACAUUCAAGAAAUGUUAAGAUCAUUCAAAAUCACGUCCUAUGAGAGUGAGAACAACCAAUCCAAUGGUACCCAAACCAGAAGGAAAAUCUGAGUCAUAUGGACAUGAAUCCCCAACAAUAAUAAAAAAAAAAGAAAGAAAGAAAGAAAAUAAUAGUUCUGGGGCCCUCAUCCAUAAUGAUUGAACACAAUUAUUUAGAAGGGCAAAGAAGUCCAAGUCCUUGAUUUUGUACCUGGCCACUCCUAUACUAUAAGAUGCCUUUGUGAAAAUUAUCAAUAGAAAGAGCACUUCUCCCUCUGGGCCAGAAUGUAACAUGGCAGGUGGAGCAUCUGGGGUUUAGAUUCUACACGCUCAGUCAAGUUUCCUUGUUCAGUGCACAGCCUGCAUAACUAUACAUGGGAGCCCUGAUUUGCAAAAUGAAGAUAUUGAGGUCCACAGAACCCAAUUUCAUUUUUAUUUAUUUAUUCUCUGGCCCAUUCCUUCACAAAUUCCUUUAUUCCAUCCUUUAUUGAGCACUUGAUACAUGCUAAGCCCUGUGAACAUAAGAUAAUAAUCCCCUUGGCCCCAGGGAAUGUAUGGUUCAGACAGAAAAUAACUUUAACAAAAUGCUUUUGUUUAUAUUGUUUCAAGUGUAUUAUUCUCUUUAUUAUACAAAUGGAGAAACAGAGGUUCUAAGACGCGUCCAAAGUCACACAACUGGCCAGUGUAAGAUGGAACCUCUGCUCAGGGCUCUCAGGUCUGUGCAGUGUCUGUUCCUUCACAGGAGGUUCCCUGCAGAAGGAAGAGGCAGUUGAGUGUUCCCAGACUCUCACCUCCUGUACACCCUAUCCCCCAAAUUGGACUGUCACGAGUGAUUUUCUUCCUCAUUCUCACAUCCUUGGGCAUUCUUCCUGAUGAGCGAUACCUCUGGGCUGAGCACCAAUGGACGCUGAGGCCAUCUCGCUCCCCAUGACUGCAUCUUAGAAUGAGUAAGAUAUUGCAGAGGGAGGUGGUUGUUUGUGUUCUGUUCUUUUUGAAGCAGAAGGCCAGAACAACACAUCAAUAAACUUGCUGGACUUGGAACAAAUGCUAUAACAAAAAUAAAUUUAAAAAUGAAGAAUAAAAUAAAAAGAAAGAAACUGCAGGGGUGAGACCGUACAGAUGGAGAGAAGCUAAGAUUGCCCCAAAGCAAAGCCACACACCUGGUGUGUAAGAGGCGCAAAUGGAGACUCAGGACCAUGCAUCCUCAGCUGCUCCAAGCAGAUUCUACCAGAACAGGCAGGGCCCUGGGUCGCUGUGACAGUUGGAGAAAGCAAAUGUGAACCAACAAGGGAGAGACGGCCACGAUGGCAAACGAACAUCCAGCAAUCGAUAUAAUUAAUCUGUCUGAAAGCCAGGCGCCAGAUUCAAGUGAGUUUUGUUGCCUGUUUGAAGCAUUUAUCUUAAAGACUGAGAUGCCUGGACUCUGCUGAGAGAACAAGUUUGCAUUUCAAAGAUGCCUUGAGGAGAAGUGGUACCCUAGCCUGCAAACAAGAUCUUUGAAGCUUUGUAAUUCCUCAGCAUCCAGUGAAACAGUCACUUCAUAAAUGCAGCUUAACUCUGUCAGUGGGUUGCUGCUGUGAGAUGCCGCCUCUUUUCCCACUGGAGACCCUGAGAGUUUCUGUGUCUACGUGUUUGAGGCAGGCAUAUACAGCUCUGAUGGCCAUUCCAGAAAAAGAGUUCCAAAAUUGCUCUGAAGGAUGGACUAGGCACUGGCCUUGGCAGGUAGCUUCCCAAGGGGAGUAUUUUGAAGGUGACUAGUGAUAUUCAGCAAGGAGGAAUAUAGCAAUUUUUCUAGGGUGAGUUUGUUGCCUUUAUUGCCUACAGUGAAGGGAGAACCUGAGUCUCGUGAGCUGGCUUUCUCCAAAAGCCAAAUGUACAUACAAGAAAUGAUGAUAAAGAGAGAAAGGCAUCGCUUUAAAAAUGUUAAAGUAGGCCAGGAAGCAGGGAGGUAAAAGAGACAUAGCCCUUGGUGACACAAAGUCAGGGCACCUAGUUCCUUUAUGCUCCAGCGUCCCUCCCCAGGGAGAUGCUGGCACCUGGAGUUUCAGUGCACUGGCUUCAGGGCAGGGGCCUUGGCUCCUGUGGGCAACGGAAUCACCACAGAGAGCUUGUUAUCAAGGCUCAUGAGGCGAGAGAGCUACUUAGUUUAUACCGUAUGAAGUGGCCCAUAUUUGACCAUGUUUAGGUAACUAAAUGGCAAUUUCAUAAGGGUCAACCUAAUCACUCAAUGAAUCUGAGAUGGAAUGAGGAAAUUCGGUUUUCUACAAGGUCCUUGGGUGACCCUAAUGCACGGGGCCCUUCGGAAGCCAAAGUAUCUGAGUCUAGUUUCCAUUAUCCCCAUUCACUGGCUCUGGCUUGGCUGAGGUGCCAAGCGUAGCAGAGCUUUUAAUGCUCACACAUCUGUGGUCCUCUACAUAGCCAGUGGGCUUCCUCCAUCUCGCUUCCUUGGCUCUCUGCUGGGGGACCACAUGCUCUGGUGGCAAGGCCACAUGCUGGAGAAGGCUACCCAGCUUCCUUUGAACUCUCCAUGAGCAAGAAAUCCAUCCCUACCAUAUUAGAUAACAGACACUUCCAGGUUAAUUUGUAACUGCUGCCUGGCCUAGCCCAGCUUAACCUAUGCCAUUCAGCUCCCUGAGCCUCAGGUUAUUUAUACACUCUAGUCCCUCACCCCUCAGAUUGUUUUGGCCACCUUCCCUUUCCUGAAUCGCCCCUCCAAUCCUGACUACACUUCUACUUCCCAAAUAAAAAAUGUGU